AGAUAGUUCAGCCCGAUUGGUUGUCCCAUGGCUUUGGGCUUGUAUGGAGGCAGAUCAUCAUGGUGGGGCGGUAUGGGGGCAUAAAGCUGCAUACCUCACAAUGGGUGAGAAGCAAAGAGAAGAACAGGGAGACACAGGACCAGGAGAACUGAUCUUUUCAUAAGCAUGCUUAACUGGAUCUGGGAUCCACUAAGAGACACACCCUUUGGAAGGCCUUAGGGAGGGCAAUUCCAGGAAGAAUUAACCAAGAGAAGAGGACUUUGUGCUGGGAGUCCAGAUAUAAAGAGGUUUGAGGGCAAAGCAGCACUACUUGCCUGCUUGCCUUUGCUGCUUGCUGGUGAGUGCAUCUACUCUGUGCUGUGACCAUCCAUGGCUACUUCAAGUUCUAAUUAUCAGAUUUUAUCAACAUCU
rnacentral:lncRNA from 1 species